UAAAGUGUGCAGGACCCUGCAUUCACUAUAUCUUGUCUCCCACAGUACACAGAUAUACAAUUAUAUUAGUAAAUAUAAACUGCUAAAUACCCUUUCUAAUCCGCAGUAUAUAGCAUUCUUAUGACUUCUAUGAGUGUCCUAUGAGGCUGCAGGACCCUGACCCUCUGUCUGGACAGUGCUGAUUGGCCCUGUGCUGAUUACAUGCAAUAACUCUCACACCAAACUGAGCAUGUGCAGAGUGCUCCCAAGGCUCUGUACUAACAGUAGGUGGAUCAGGGACAGUGGGAAAAAGGGCAGAUCAGAGAAGACGGGAUCAAACAGCCUUUUUACACAAAGUAGAGGAUUAACCCCUUAGGUUCGACAGUGUGUAUAACAAGCGUGCUUUACUGCAUAUACAGACUGAUUUUACUGUUGUGGAUUUAGUAACACUUUAAAUGCUAAAGUUCUAAAUGUUGUCCCCCUGCCUGCCAUUAUACUCUUAUCCCUGAUCCAGUGAGAAUAAGCCCAAAGAGGCUGCAAAGAAGCUUGUCAAAUUCUUCUGAACAGGACCUGUUCUUUCUCUGCAUUUUCAUUUAUUCACAUGGAGAGUUAGGAGUAUAAGUUUGUACUCCAGAACUCUUCAUAGAAAUUAAUAGAAGUCCAGCGUGCAUGCGCAAGCCCUGAUGUUCAAUAAUUGCACUUAAUGGAUUGGGCUGGUAAUCAAUUUUUUAACCCGAGGAAGACCAGGGGCACUUUGUGUCUAGGCAUCUACUUCUGUUUCCAAUUUCCUUAGUUAACCCGAAUUUCACCUCUAAACUAAAAAGUCAACUGCAGAUUGGUUUAGUUGUAAGAGUUUGUCCACAGCCCUCUAGUGACACCAUGUUGUUUGAACAAGUACGAUUAAGUGUCACGGUAGAAAUAAGAAGAUAUCUCCAGCUACAGUUUACACAUUAGGAUUUAUAUGGUAAAUGUAUAUCUAAGCAUAUGGACAAAUAUGGUGGUAGCAUCUGUAAUGGUGUAUAAAUAUAAACUGUAUUUCCUCUGUAUUUUGAUGGUUUCUGAAACUUUCUGUUUAAAGGGGAUUUUUAGCAAACUGAAAAACACAGGUUAGGAACGCCUUUUGUAUUAUCCUCUCCCACAGGUCCUGCUUUCUAAAGAUCUGCUGUUAUAAACCUGGCAUUGUGGCUUGACUUAGAGAAGUCUCGCCAAACAUGUUCUUGGUUACUCCUGUCCCCCAGGGGACAAAGUGCAUGUAGCACUAUUUUUUUGUCAUUUUAGGUGAUCCAAGUGCUGAGCUAGCAUGGUUGACAGGGCGCUUCUCAAAGGUGUGAUGCUACCCAUACAGAGGGAAUGACAGGAAAAGGUGAGCAAGAUUGAUAGUGUAUGGGGAGGAAGAGAAAGGAAUUCUAGGACAAUGUGAUUGAGCAAAAGUGGUGGGAAAGUAGAAUAUAAUUGGUAGCUGGAGGUGAGAGUAGAAGAAUGACAGUAAGAAGGCAGUAGCUUCUUGGCUUUGCUGGAGUUCUCCCAUAGGAACACCCACAAAUUGGGCUCCAUACAGGGGUGGAGCUCACAGCCAAAAUUACAAGACUUAGAGUAGUGCUUUUCGGCCAGAUGGUCCUGCAAAAUCUGUCUGAUGCAUACAUUUUCUUUAACAUGAAUCUUUGGACCUGCUGAGACUACUUCUAUGCCAUAAUGAAGUUCUUGUGGAAAACACUGAACCCUUAUUGUCUAAUGUUUCAGAUGACCGCAUGACAUUAUCAUUUCAAAGGGGGAAACUCCUUCCACCUUCUGUAAAGCAGUUCAAAUUACAAUACUGGCUGACUGUGGGAUGUAUUUGUACGAGCUGCUAAAACAAAGAAUGGGCAGAGCUGGGGGGCGAUGGACCAUAUCGAACUAUCUACAGCCAUAAAGUUCCACAGAGGGCCAACAAAUAAAAGUAUUGGGCAGCCUUUGCGUUCAUUCGAUUAUUUAGCUGUCAUUGUAACAUUUGUUCUUUCUGUCAAGUUGUUACGGAUGAGACCUGUAAUCACGCUGGUGUUCUGUGUAGAAGUAUUAAGGCGUGGGUUGGGUCUCGGGAUAUGUAAUACUCUGAACAUAUGCAAUGAAUAGCUGAUGAUGUAGUUUUAUGCCAUUUCUUAGUUACUUGGAAGCUAUUGAUCUAGCGCCUUCUCAUUUGCCAGCAUCCUUUGCCAUUUCCCAGAAUCCUGCAGGCUACAGCCAGACUGUGUGUGUAAAUACAGACCAUGAUUUCUACGAUGCCGAUUCUCGCACACUUUGGAGCCCUGGGACAUUAUAGUUCAGAUUUCCUAUAUGCCUUUGUAAGUCUGAUAAUGUCUUCUCUGUUGAACAAUUAAACAUGCCAUCUGUCUUGUGUGUCCUGAA